GACGAACGCUGGCGGCGUGCUUAACACAUGCAAGUCGAGCGGAGCGGCGAAAGGGUGAGUAACGCGUGAGUAACUGCCCCCCUCCCUGGGAUAACAGUUGGAAACGGCUGCUAAUACCGGAUAGUUGGGGAUGACUCGAGGCCUAUCAGCUUGUUGGUGGGGUGAUGGCCUAGCUAGGCGGUGGCGGGUAGCCGGCCUGAGAGAGUGACCGGCCACAUUGGGCUGAGAUACGGCCCAGACUGCUACGGGAGGCAGCAGUUGGGGAUAUUGGACAAUGGGCGAAAGCCUGAUGCAUCUACGCCGCGUGGGGGAUGAAGGCUUUCGGGUUGUAAACCUCUCCUUGCAAUGCUCGGGUAGGUGGAGAAGAAGCGCCGGCUAACUACGUGCCAGCAGCCGCGGUAAUUC
rnacentral:rRNA from 1 species